UACGUAGGGGGCUAGCGUUGUCCGGAAUCAUUGGGCGUAAAGAGCGCGUAGGCGGCCAGAUAAGUCCGGUGUAAAAGUCACAGGCUCAACCUGUGAAUGCCGCUGGAAACUGUCUGGCUUGAGUCCGGGAGGGCGAGUGGAAUUCCUGGUGUAGCAGUGAAAUGCGUAGAUAUCAGGAGGAACACCAUAGCGAAGGCAGCUCGCUGGACGUUACUGACACUGAGGCGACGAAAGCGUGGGGAGCGAACAGG
rnacentral:rRNA from 1 species